CAGCCGCCGCGGGAAUACAGAGGGUGCGAGCGUUAAUCGGAAUUACUGGGCGUAAAGCGUGCGCAGGCGGUUAUAUAAGACAGAUGUGAAAUCCCCGGGCUCAACCUGGGAACUGCAUUUGUGACUGUAUAGCUAGAGUACGGCAGAGGGGGAUGGAAUUCCGCGUGUAGCAGUGAAAUGCGUAGAUAUGCGGAGGAACACCGAUGGCGAAGGCAAUCCCCUGGGCCUGUACUGACGCUCAUGCACGAAAGCGUGGGGAGCAAACAGGAUUAGAGACCCCAGUAGUCCCUGUCUCUUAUAC
rnacentral:rRNA from 1 species